rnacentral:lncRNA from 1 species
GUGGAAGUCUCACCCAAAAUGGUGAGUGGGGGUUCAACCUAGGGCGAUGCAGCCAUGGCUCAAUGUUCGGGUGCUUGCUGACGAUGGGUGGUGUCAGAAAAUACACACACAUGGACGGCCAAACAGGAGUUUCAAAAUCUUGGAUUUUUCCAAAAAAAACAAUGAUAAAUCGAUAGAAAUCUUGAUUUGUAAUCAAAAGGAAUUG